CAGUCGUGAGGAAGGCGGCGUCGUUAAUAGCGGCGUUGUUUGACGUUAGCGACAGAAGAAAGCACCGGCUAACUCCGUGCCAGCAGCCGCGGUAAUACGGAGGGUGCGAGCGUUAAUCGGAAUUACUGGGCGUAAAGCGCAUGCAGGUGGUUGUUAAGUCAGAUGUGAAAGACCCGGGGCGUCAACCUCGGAAUUGCAUUUGUAAACUAGGCAGACUAGAGUACUGUAGAGGGGGGUAGGAAUUUCAGGUGUAGCGGUGAAAUAGCGUAGAGAUCUGAAGGAAUACCGGUGGCGAAGGCGGCCCCCUCGGACAGAUACUGACACUCAGAUGCGAAAGCGUGGGGAGCAAACAGGAUUAGAUACCCUGGUAG
rnacentral:rRNA from 1 species